rnacentral:rRNA from 1 species
UACGUAGGGACCAAGCGUUGUCCGGAAUCAUUGGGCGUAAAGAGCGUGUAGGCGGCUUGUUAAGUCUUGCGUGAAAUCUCGGGGCUCAACCCCGAGCGGUCGUGAGAAACUGGCAGGCUAGAGUGCGGGAGAGGAGAGUGGAAUUCCUGGUGUAGCGGUGAAAUGCGCAGAUAUCAGGAAGAACACCCGUGGCGAAGGCGGGUCUCUGGGCCGUAACUGACGCUGAGGAGCGAAAGCGUGGGGAGCGAACAGG